CCGAGCUCAUGCCCUUCGGGGUAGAACUCCCACCCUUUGUAUACCUUACCUUUGUUGCUUUGGCGGGCCGCCUAGCUACUGGCUUCGGCUGGUAAGUGCCCGCCAGAGGACCCAAAACCCUGAAUUAUUAGUGUCGUCUGAGUAAAAAGUUAAUAUUUA
rnacentral:misc_RNA from 1 species